AACAGGAUUAGAUACCCUGGUAGUCCACGCCGUAAACGAUGUCGACCAGCCGUUGGGUGCCUAGCGCACUUUGUGGCGAAGUUAACGCGAUAAGUCGACCGCCUGGGGAGUACGGCCGCAAGGUUAAAACUCAAAUGAAUUGACGGGGGCCCGCACAAGCGGUGGAGCAUGUGGUUUAAUUCGAUGCAACGCGAAGAACCUUACCUACUCUUGACAUCCUGCGAAUUUGGUAGAGAUACCUUAGUGCCUUCGGGAACGCAGAGACAGGUGCUGCAUGGCUGUCGUCAGCUCGUGUUGUGAAAUGUUGGGUUAAGUCCCGUAACGAGCGCAACCCUUGUCCUUAUUUGCCAGCGCGUAAUGGCGGGAACUCUAAGGAGACUGCCGGUGACAAACCGGAGGAAGGUGGGGACGACGUCAAGUCAUCAUGGCGCUUACGAGUAGGGCUACACACGUGCUACAAUGGUCGGUACAAAGGGUUGCCAACUCGCGAGAGUGAGCCAAUCCCGAAAAGCCGAUCUCAGUCCGGAUCGGAGUCUGCAACUCGACUCCGUGAAGUCGGAAUCGCUAGUAAUCGUGGAUCAGAAUGCCACGGUGAAUACGUUCCCGGGCCUUGUACACACCGCCCGUCACACCAUGGGAGUGGACUGCACUAGAAGUGGUUAGCCUAACGCAAGAGGGCGAUCACCACGGUGUGGUUCAUGACUGGGGUGAAGUCGUAACAAGGUAACC
rnacentral:rRNA from 1 species